rnacentral:rRNA from 1 species
UGAGACUCUGUGCGCGUGCAUAUCAAUAAGCGGAGGAAAAGAAACUAACAAGGAUUCCCUUAGUAACGGCGAGUGAAGCGGGAAGAGCUCAAAUUUGAAAUCUUCAAGGUUUUACCUUGACGAAUUGUAGUUUAAAGAAGUGUUUUCUGUUGAAGUUUCGGUAAAAGUUCUUUGGAAUAGGACAUCAUAGAGGGUGAGAAUCCCGUAUUUGACCAUUAUUUUCAGCUGUGUGAUACACUUUCAAAGAGUCGGAUUGUUUGGGAAUGCAGUCCAAAAUGGGUGGUAAAUUUCAUCUAAAGCUAAAUAUUGGCGAGAGACCGAUAGCGAACAAGUACCGUGAGGGAAAGAUGAAAAGAACUUUGAAAAGAGAGUUAAACAGUACGUGAAAUUGUCAAAAGGGAAGCGUUUGACACCAGUGUUGUUUUCUCGAAAAUCAAUUAAAAAAGGCCGGAUUUUGUGUUGUAUUGACCUUAAAAGCUUUCUUCACUCUUUUCUUGUCUUUUUUAAUGCACUUUUCGUUUAACAAGUCAACAUCAGUUUCUUUUGUUGUAAAAGGGUCAUUGGAAGGUGGCCUUCUUUUCGGAGAAAGUGUUUAUAGCCUUUGAUCUCUGCAACCGGAGAGACUGAGGUCUGCAGCGUAGACUCUUCGGGGUUAGAUACAUUUGUGCUAAGCUAUAGCUUUUUAUAGACAACUUGUUGACUAUAGUUUAGUCUUGUAGCUUACUCGCCUAUGCUAUUUUACCUACGCUUAGGAUGUUGAACUCUAUCACACACAG